rnacentral:misc_RNA from 1 species
GAUGAAGAACGCAGCGAAAUGCGAUAAGUAAUGCGAAUUGCAGAAUCCGUGAGUCAUCGAAUCUUUGAACGCACAUUGCGCCCCCUGGUAUUCCGGGGGGCAUGCCUGUCCGAGCGUCAUUGCAACCCUCAAGCACGGCUUGUCUAAUGGGCGGUUCGUCUGCGGCCAUCCGCCGGAGACGCCCCCGAAAUGCAGUGGGGAUGUUCGCUAAAUCGCAGCGUCAGGAAUGGAAAUAAACAAUGCUGACGGCUCGAUGUCGAACGUCCACCUAAGGCGUGCCGCCCCCCCGGGGUGUGCCGCCCAACCUCUCUCGGUUGACCUCGGAUCAGGUAGGGAUACCCGCUGAACUUAAGCAUAUCAAUAAGCGGAGGA